rnacentral:rRNA from 1 species
CCUACGGGGGGCAGCAGUAGGGAAUAUUGCUCAAUGGGGGCAACCCUGAAGCAGCAACGCCGCGUGGGGGAUGAAGGUUUUCGGAUUGUAAACUCCUUUUGUUAGAGAAGAUACUGACGGUAUCUAACGAAUAAGCUCCGGCUAACUCCGUGCCAGCAGCCGCGGUAAUACGGAGGGUGCAAGCGUUACUCGGAAUCACUGGGAGUAACGGGCGCGGAGGCGGGGUAGCGAGUCAGAUGUGAAAUCCUAUGGCUUAACGAUAGAACUGCAGUGGACACGGGUAUUCUUGAGUAUGGGAGAGGAAGGUGGAAUUCUUGGUGUAGGGGUAGAAUGUGUAGAGAUCAAGAGGAAUACUCAUGGCGAAGGC